rnacentral:rRNA from 1 species
UAAGCGGAGAGUUUGAUCCUGGCUCAGAACGAACGCUGGCGGCGUGCCUAACACAUGCAAGUCGUGCGAGAACGCUCCCUUCGGGGAGCUAGUAAAGCGGCGCACGGGUGAGUAACACGUGGGUAAUCUGCCCUUGAGUUUGGGAUAACCCGGGGAAACCCGGGCUAAUACCAAAUGCGCCCCAGGGGUCUUCGGACUCCUGGGAGAAAGAUGGCCUCUGCUUGCAAGCUAUCGCUCAUGGAUGAGCCCGCGUCCCAUUAGCUUGUUGGUGAGGUAACGGCUCACCAAGGCUCAGAUGGGUAGCUGAUCUGAGAGGAUGAUCAGCCACACUGGAACUGAGACACGGUCCAGACUCCUACGGGAGGCAGCAGUGGGGAAUUUUGGGCAAUGGGCGCAAGCCUGACCCAGCAACGCCGCGUGAGGGAUGAAGGUUUUCGGAUCGUAAACCUCUGUCAGGAGGGAAGAGCAGUCCCAUGGCCAAUACCCAUGGGACCCGACGGUACCUCCAAAGGAAGCGCCGGCUAACUCCGUGCCAGCAGCCGCGGUAAUACGGAGGGCGCAAGCGUUGUUCGGAAUUACUGGGCGUAAAGCGCGUGUAGGCGGUUUGGAAAGUCGGGUGUGAAAUCCCCGGGCCUAACCCGGGAACUGCAUCCGAAACUUCCUGACUAGAGUCCCGGAGAGGAAGGCAGAAUUCCCAGUGUAGGGGUGAAAUCCGUAGAUAUUGGGAGGAAU